rnacentral:rRNA from 1 species
UACGUAGGUGACAAGCGUUGUCCGGAUUUACUGGGCGUAAAGAGCGCGCAGGCGGUCGAUCAAGUCGAGUGUGAAAGCCCCCGGCUCAACUGGGGAGGGUCAUUCGAAACUGGUCGACUCGAAGGCAGGAGAGGGUAGUGGAAUUCCCGGUGUAGUGGUGAAAUGCGUAGAUAUCAGGAGGAACACCAGUGGCGAAGGCGACUACCUGGCCUGUUCUUGACGCUGAGGCGCGAAAGCUAGGGGAGCAAACGGG